UACGGGGGGGGCAAGCGUUGUUCGGAAUUACUAGGCGUAAAGGGCUCGUAGGCGGCCAACUAAGUCGGAUGUGAAAUCCCCAGGCUCAACCUGGGAACUGCAUCCGAUACUGGAUGGCUUGAAUUCGGGAGAGGGAUGCAGAAUUCCAGGUGUAGCGGUGAAAUGCGUAGAUAUCUGGAGGAAUACCGGUGGCGAAGGCGGCAUCCUGGACCGACAUUGACGCUGAGGAGCGAAAGCCAGGGGAGCAAACGGG
rnacentral:rRNA from 1 species